GACGAACGCUGGCGGCGUGCUUAACACAUGCAAGUCGAACGGAAAGGCCGUGCUUUUUUGCGCUGCUGGGGGGGCGAACGGGGAAGUAACACGUGAGUAACCUGCCCUUCACUUUGGGAUGACUUCAGGAAGCUGGGGUUAAUCCCAGAUAGGAUCUCCUGCACCUGGGUGGGCGUGGGAUCGUUUCGGCGGUUGGGGAUGGAUUCGCGGCUUAUGGGCUUGUUGGUUGGGUAGUGGCAGACCAAGGCCUGGACGGGUAGGCGGCCUGAGAGGGUGACCGGGGACAUUAGGACUGAGCUACGGCCCAGACUCCAAUGGGAGGCAAGAGUGGGGAGUAUUGUACAGUGGGCGGGAGCCUGAUGCAGCAACGCCGCGUGCGGGAUGACGGCCUGCGGGUAGUGAACCGCAGUCGCCUGAGACGAAGCGUUAGUGACGGUACUGGGUGAAGAAGCACCGGCUAACUACGUG
rnacentral:rRNA from 1 species